rnacentral:rRNA from 1 species
AACGCUAGCUACAGGCUUAACACAUGCAAGUCGAGGGGCAGCAGGGAUUUAGCUUGCUAAGUCCGCUGGCGACCGGCGCACGGGUGCGUAACGCGUAUCCAACCUUCCCGUUACUCUUGGAUAGCCCUCCGAAAGGGGGAUUAAUACAGGAUGAUAUCUGAAUUUCGCAUGUUAAUCGGAUUAAAGAUUUAUCGGUAACGGAUGGGGAUGCGUACCAUUAGCUUGUUGGCGGGGUAACGGCCCACCAAGGCUUCGAUGGUUAGGGGUUCUGAGAGGAAGGUCCCCCACACUGGAACUGAGACACGGUCCAGACUCCUACGGGAGGCAGCAGUGAGGAAUAUUGGUCAAUGGCCGGAAGGCUGAACCAGCCAAGUAGCGUGAAGGAUGAAGGUUCUAUGGAUUGUAAACUUCUUUUAUGAGGGAAUAAAGCCCGCUACGUGUAGCGGUUUGUAUGUACCUUAUGAAUAAGCAUCGGCUAACUCCGUGCCAGCAGCCGCGGUAAUACGGAGGAUGCGAGCGUUAUCCGGAUUUAUUGGGUUUAAAGGGAGCGUAGACGGGAUGUUAAGUCAGCUGUGAAAGUUUGAGGCCCAACCUUAAAAUUGCAGUUGAUACUGGCGUCCUUGAGUGCGGUUGAGGUGUAUGGAAUUCGUGGUGUAGCGGUGAAAUGCUUAGAUAUCACGAAGAACUCCGAUUGCGAAGGCAGUACACUAAGCCGCUACUGACGUUGAGGCUCGAAAGUGUGGGUAUCAAACAGGAUUAGAUACCCUGGUAGUCCACACGGUAAACGAUGAACACUCGCUGUUGGCGAUAUAGUGUCAGCGGCCAAGCGAAAGCAUUAAGUGUUCCACCUGGGGAGUACGCCGGCAACGGUGAAACUCAAAGGAAUUGACGGGGGCCCGCACAAGCGGAGGAACAUGUGGUUUAAUUCGAUGAUACGCGAGGAACCUUACCCGGGCUUAAAUUGCAGAGGACAGGCUGAGAGAUCAGCUCUUCUUCGGACUUCUGUGAAGGUGCUGCAUGGUUGUCGUCAGCUCGUGCCGUGAGGUGUCGGCUUAAGUGC